rnacentral:lncRNA from 10 species
CAGAGUCAUUCCUGGUGGUAUCUUGGGCAAACUGCACUGAUUUUACAGAGUGCACAAGAAGCAUGGAACCUGCAUCUGCAUGUGAGGCCCUUAGGCUGCUUCUACUCAUGGCAGAAGGCAAAGGGAAGCCGGUGUAUGUAGAGAUCACAUGGCAAGAAGCGAAGCAAGAGAGAGAGUGGGGAGGUGCCAGGCUCUUUAUAACAACCAGCUCUUAAAAGAACCAACAGAGCUCUACAAGAAGCAUGGCACUGGUACCUGCAUCUGAUGAAGGCCUUAGGCUGAUUCCACUUAUGGAGGAAGGGGAAGGGAAGCUGGGAUAUGCAGAGAUCACAUGGUUUCAUCAGACUGCCAAAGAGGUCCAUGUCACAAAAACUAGUUAAGAAUCCCAGCUUUGGAUAAAGACCACAAUUCGCAACAGAUCUUUCCAAAGUCACGUAUUAUUUAGUCCCCUCUUAGUCUUCAACUCAUCUCUCUUCACUCCUCCCCAACAGCUUCUUAUCCACCAAAACAUCUGCACACAAGACUGACUGAACUACUUUCAGUUUCUUUGAUGGCCCAUGUUCUCUCUGUUUCCCCUGCCACAUCCUCUCAAUUCUCCAACCCCAUCCCAUAUAUCCCUGCACCUGGAUAAUGUUUACGCAUUCUUCAGGCUCUGGAAAGCCUUCCUGCCAAACACACACACAUACAUACACACACACACACACACGCAUGUGUGCGCAUGGCUCAGGUCAUGCCACGCUUCCUCCAUAGCAUCCUCUACAUCCCCGGCACAGUGCUUAUCUCCUUUGGUGUAAAUGAUAUCAUCUAUUUUCCUCAAUAGACUCUAAGCAAGCUCUGUAUGUACAUGGACCAAGACAGCCCUGCUCACAGUUAUAUCCCUGGAAUCUAGUACAAUCUGGC